rnacentral:rRNA from 1 species
AAGAGUUUGAUCCUGGCUCAGGAUGAACGCUAGCGGCAGGCUUAAUACAUGCAAGUCGAGGGGCAGCAGGGGUAGCAAUACCCGCUGGCGACCGGCAAACGGGUGCGGAACACGUACGCAACCUUCCUUUAACUGGAGAAUAGCCCCUCGAAAGAGGGAUUAAUACUCCGUAACAUAUUGAUAAGGCAUCUUAUUAAUAUUAUAGUCUUCGGGCGGUUAAAGAUGGGCGUGCGCCUGAUUAGAUAGUUGGUGAGGUAACGGCUCACCAAGUCUGCGAUCAGUAACUGGUGUGAGAGCACGACCAGUCACACGGGCACUGAGACACGGGCCCGACUCCUACGGGAGGCAGCAGUAAGGAAUAUUGGUCAAUGGACGCAAGUCCGAACCAGCCAUGCCGCGUGGAGGAUUAAGGCCCUCUGGGUUGUAAACUCCUUUUAUCUGGGAAGAAAUGCCAUUUUUCUAAAUGGUUUGACGGUACCAGAGGAAUAAGCACCGGCUAACUCCGUGCCAGCAGCCGCGGUAAUACGGAGGGUGCAAGCGUUAUCCGGAUUCACUGGGUUUAAAGGGUGCGUAGGCGGGGCAGGUAAGUCCGUGGUGAAAUCUCUGAGCUUAACUCAGAAACUGCCAUGGAUACUAUUUGUCUUGAAUACUGUGGAGGUAAGCGGAAUAUGUCAUGUAGCGGUGAAAUGCUUAGAUAUGACAUGGAACACCCAAUUGCCGAAGGCAGCUUACUACAACAGUUAUUGACGCUGAGGCACGAAAAGCGUGGGGU